rnacentral:lncRNA from 1 species
UCUUUUUCAGAUGUUGUGUCCAAUGAGGUAGAAUUUUCAGAAUGUGUAGAUUAUAUAUUUAGUAGUUCGUGCCAAGAACUAGAUGAUGCUUCACGUGAAAUGUAUGGACAAUCUAUAUGUGACAAUGACCAGCUACCUCAUACGUGUUGCUUAUGUUUGACCAAUGGAAGAAAAUAAAAGAAAAUUGCCUUUCUUUCUCACAUUAAGGUAUGAUGCACUUUUUAAUGAUUUUCAACUGGAAGCAAUGCAUCUUAGGUGUACUACAAAGAGAGGGGACCAAUUUCCUCAUUAUUUCACACUAUGGUCAUUUUCAGUCUUGAUUAUGCGAAAUUUGCAAGAUAUUGGCAAAUUGCGUGUCCUUAAAAAUUAUAAGAAGGAUAUCCGUUACCAGAAAACCGCUCAUUAUCUAUCGAUAAAAAUUAUCUCAGUUUAUUGGUGAGUUCUCAGUCAAUGCAAAUUUUACAAAAGUGUGUUAGGUUUAUAUAAACCUUGUUUAAAAAAAGCAAUCCAUAGCAAAUUGUUUCUGGAUAAAAUCUCAUUGUUAUUGAUAUAAAAAUGUAAAUAAAAACAAGGAAUGUGUCAAAGAGAAAUUUCUCGAUUAGAGAGCAGAAAACAGGCCAAGGCCAUCAAUGGUUCCUCAACACAGCGAAGGCUGAUUUCAGCUGGCCCCUAAACAAUUAAUGUACACUAGUUCAGCAAAAAUGGACGCCACACUCAGCUCCGAAACAUAUAAUUGAAUUUAAAAAAAAACACAAGUCUGACAAAGGCUAUAUGUUCCUGUCUUUGAACAGGCGCAUACGUGCGGCGGGGUUAUAUAUAUAUAUUGUUAAAUCCCAACCUCCUCAAUAUCUCAAGCCGAUAUUGAAUAAACAUAAACACAGCAUUACAUACAAUGUAACUCAGUUUAAAAGAAGUCCGAGUCCGAUUUUAGAAUUAAUCGGUUACAGAGGAAACUAAGCAAAAUGAUAAUUAUCAAAAUAAAUUUACAAAGGACUGCUAGGAGAAGAACCUCACCCUUUUUUUCUAAACUAUUAUAUACCAUUUGGCAUAAACCGUGGUAUGUUGACAAUUCAAUCAUUUGCAUUAUGAAAAUACGAAAUCCGAUGGAUUAUGUUUUAUUAAUACCCGCUUUCUUUGUAAAGCUGGGUUAUUCGUUUGGGAAUUAUUAGUGUAUUAUGUUAAGCCAUUGGUAUAUGUGAUUUCUAAUUCAUUAUAAUUCGGAUGUAUAAACAAACAAACAUUUAUUUGAUUCAUUACGUCUUCUAAAGUUUGAGAGUUUGGUGAAACAGAUAAAAAAAAUGAACAAAUUAUUUCUGUUUGUAAUUUUUGGACUCCUUCUUGUAACAUGUAAGUAAUACGUUGGUCUGAAUCAGUUGAUUAUAUAAAAUAGUAUACUGUCUUAUACUUAAAUAGAUAGUUUCUUUCUGGUUGAACGAUUGUUUUGCAUGGACUAAAAACAUAGAUCACAUCAGUUACUUCUUUAUUGUUUGGUAUUAUAUACAGGCAACAGUAGUAAAGUAGUUAUAGCCUUAUCACCAAAAUAUAGGAUCCUGUUUGAUUUUUAGGUUCCUUUACUAGUCGAUUUUUACACACAGAACUGGUAAUCGAGGACAUAGAAUAUUUGUAACUUUUUUCUGUAAGGACGAGGUCUGAUAGAUGUAAUAAUGUGUUUUGAAAUGCAAGUGUUUCGUCGGGAUAUUAUGAACGAGAAAAGACAUCUGCGUGUAGAAAAAAAUUGGAGUAAAUAUUUCCUAUGGAAACGCCCAUUAAUAAUCGAACAAUUGGUGUCUUUUAAGUCAAGACAUGGAAAGAUAUCCAUGGGUUCGCACAUGUUAACCAAGAUAAUUUAUUAGGUUCCAGUAAAAUUGAGAAGUGAAAUGGGGAAUAUGUAAUAGAGACAACAAACCUUUAUGAUGGUUUAUGUAAUUGCAGAGAAUUAUACCGUCCCAUGAAAUCUGUUAUAACCUACACUGAACGAGUUUUAACUUGUAUGUGUCAUAAUGAGUGAAAAAAAAAACAGAUGGUUAACAAACACUUCUAUUAUACUAGUUUACUCGUUAUCUGCUCAUUAUACAACAAGAGUAUUGUAUUCUAUAUGUGUCUGAUGCAGCAAAAUAUAAUGUAAGACUUGGUCAGGUCGAUUCGUUCGUCAAUAAAUAACAAAAUAUUAAUUUUCACUUUCUCUAUCUUUACAUAUUGAGAUAUUGUUAAUUGUAUUUUCUUUCUAUUUUCUAAAGAUUUGACAGACGCAGUAUGCUAUGACUCUGUUUUGAAUACACCAUGUACAGAAUACGACCAGUAUUUCAAGAGCUUGGAUGCCAAAAGCUCCGUCUGUGACAAUUCUGAUCUGGCUGCUAUCUGUUGCAUGUGCCAAUAGAAUUAGGCAUGAAUUAUUUCUUUUAAUUUUUAUGUGAAUAACGAUAAACAAACUUGAUU